GUCAAUUCUUGAUUGGAAAGUUAACCACUAAUCACCUGUCAAUGGACAUCAAUACUGUACAUGCUGUAUGCAGUCAUGUGAUUAUGAGUACAACUCCACAAGUGAAUGGAGCUCUUUGUUAAUACUUGACUUUCAUUUUUAAAAGUCAAUCAUGGUCAAUAGUACAAAUGUUUCAACAAAAGAAUUGUUGUACACAUGCAUUCUCAAGAGAUGCAGCAGGCUUUGACAGAACUGAAAGUUUUGGAGGACUCAAUAAUGGUCAUAAAAUAGGUUGCAAGUCGCAAAAUCGUGCUCCUAUCUCACACUUACAUUUUAUUACAAAAACCUUGCAUUAUACAUCAAUUGGUCUUUACCAAUAUAUGUCAAUUGGUGGAUUAUAUGUCAAUUGAGGUAUAAUCCACCAAUUGGUGGUUAUUCCUGACCUGUUUAACAUAGUUUUAUUUUUUCUUGGACCAGAUUUCAUGUGCAACAUGUUACAUUGUAUCAUUUGUUCUUGGACCAAAUUUCAUGUUUAUAUGUAGUAUAUCAUUUGCUCGUGGACCAGAUUUCAUGUGCUAUGUAAUAUAUAAUUUGUUCUUGGACCAGAUUUUAUGUGCUUAUUUCCCCUCAUGGACCAGUCAGGUUUUAUGUAAAUAAUUUUGUUCUCUUAUGGCCCAAGUAAUUAUAUUGUAUGUUAUUAUUGUUUCACAUAUAAUUUGAUUUAUGUUAUCCAGUAUUAUUUGUUAUUAAUAAAAUGACAGAAAGAAUUAAAA
rnacentral:lncRNA from 1 species